UACGUAGGGUGCGAGCGUUAAUCGGAAUUACUGGGCGUAAAGCGUGCGCAGGCGGUUUUGUAAGCCCGAUGUGAAAGCCCCGGGCCUAACCUGGGAAUGGCAUUUGGGACUGCAAGGCUGGAGUGUGGCAGAGGAGACUGGAAUUCCUGGUGUAGCAGUGAAAUGCGUAGAUAUCAGGAGGAAUACCGAUGGCGAAGGCAGGUCUCUGGGCUGACACUGACGCUCAUGCACGAAAGCGUGGGGAGCAAACAGG
rnacentral:rRNA from 1 species